GGCGGCAUGCUUUACACAUGCAAGUCGAACGGCAGCGCGGGGCAACCUGGCGGCGAGUGGCGAACGGGUGAGUAAUAUAUCGGAACGUACCCAAGAGUGGGGGAUAACGUAGCGAAAGUUACGCUAAUACCGCAUACGAUCUAUGGAUGAAAGCGGGGGAUCGCAAGACCUCGUGCUCCUGGAGCGGCCGAUAUCUGAUUAGCUAGUUGGUGAGGUAAAGGCUCACCAAGGCGACGAUCAGUAGCUGGUCUGAGAGGACGACCAGCCACACUGGAACUGAGACACGGUCCAGACUCCUACGGGAGGCAGCAGUGGGGAAUUUUGGACAAUGGGCGCAAGCCUGAUCCAGCAAUGCCGCGUGAGUGAAGAAGGCCUUCGGGUUGUAAAGCUCUUUUGUCAGGGAAGAAACGGUAGAGGCUAAUAUCCUUUGCUAAUGACGGUACCUGAAGAAUAAGCACCGGCUAACUACGUGCCAGCAGCCGCGGUAAUACGUAGGGUGCAAGCGUUAAUCGGAAUUACUGGGCGUAAAGCGUGCGCAGGCGGUUUUGUAAGUCUGUCGUGAAAGCCCCGGGCUCAACCUGGGAAUUGCGAUGGAGACUGCAAGGCUUGAAUCUGGCAGAGGGGGGUAGAAUUCCACGUGUAGCAGUGAAAUGCGUAGAGAUGUGGAGGAACACCGAUGGCGAAGGCAGCCCCCUGGGUCAAGAUUGACGCUCAUGCACGAAAGCGUGGGGAGCAAACAGGAUUAGAUACCCUGGUAGUCCACGCCCUAAACGAUGUCUACUAGUUGUCGGGUUUUAAUUAACUUGGUAACGCAGCUAACG
rnacentral:rRNA from 1 species